CAAAAGUGAGAGCAGUCAGGCAUUUGGGGACUGCACCACAGCUGGGCAGGGCCCAGCCCUUCAGUCCCAGCCAGUGGAGGUUUACUUUGCCAUUCAGGGCCUCUGACUUGUGGGCUGGCAGUGGUAGGGAAAAUUCCUAGGAAAAAAAGGAAGGGGGACCUGUCUAGGGCAGGGUAAGUGCAUCUGACUUGGAGUCACAUGGGCCUGAGGUUCAAGUCUCUGCAGGACCAUGUGACCUUGGGAAGACUCCUUCACCUUGGUUUCUUCAUCUGUAAAAUGGGAGUAAUAAUAGUACCUACUCGUCAGAGCUGUAACAAGUCUUAAAUGAGGCCAUGCAUGAAGAAGGGCUGAGCCUUUGGCCUUUAGAAGCAAAUUUCCCUUCUGUGAAAUCUCCAGGUCAGGAGAGGCAUCUUUCUCUCCAUAUUAGGGCUGUCACUUAUGCAGUGGGGGGUGGAGUGGUGUGUCUCUGGUUGCAAAAUUGAGAUGUAGACCCCAUGAAUGCCUGGCAGCAAGGCCCUGGUUCUAACCACUGGGGAACACUGCCCCCUUGGGCCUGCUCCAUCCACUACGAGGCGCGCAUGCGCAGGGCAGGGAGCCUGGGGAGCAUUUGAUUCAGGAGGCUGCUCACCUUUCUGGAUUUUAUAAUCUCUGAUCUUAUGGUCACCUGAGGCUGGAAUUUUUCUAACUCUGGCAUACUGCAGCCUGAACCAGGAGAAGCAGGAGACUCUGGGGAUGGAGACAGAGCCGGGGAACUGGGAAUAGGCCAUGACUGAGCCAAGAACCUGCCUGCCAGUGCAGCAGAUGUAAGAGACAUGGGUUCUUUCCUUGGGUCUGGAAAACCUCCUGGAGAAAGGCAUGCAAGCCACUCCAGUACUCUUGCCUGGAGAAUCCCAUGGACAGAGGAGCCUGGUGUGCUACAGUUCAUGGGGUGGCAAAGAGUCGGACACACCUGAACAACUGAACUGAACUGAAGCUACUUCGCAUGGAUGCACACAUGAGCCUGGGCAACAGUGACAUCCCAAAGGACUCAAAGUCUUCCAAAGAGGUGCUGCUUCACCUCAUGGUUUGCUUAGGAUUUCUCCUGGGUUAACUGAUGAGAGAACUGAGUUCUCAGCUCAGAGCUGCCCCUCUCUAGCCAGCUGACCUCACACCAGUCCCUCUUCCUCUCUGAGCCUCAGUUUCCUCAUCUGUGAAAUGGGGAUAAGAAUACUUCCAACUGCAAGGAUUACAAGAUGUGGUGUGCACAGAGUGCCUGGUGAACACUACCCGUUGUUCAAACCGUGUGGCUGUCUGGGGAUGAAAGGUGGUGUCUUAGGAGGGCAGGAAGUGUGUGAGUAGAUGUGGGGAGUCCUGCCAGGGCAAGAGUUGAGCCUCCAAGGACCUCGCCUCACAGAUGUAGUGCCUUGGGGUAGGGCUGGGAACCCCAGCUUCGGUACUCUCCCAGAUCAGGACAGGUCAGAGGGAGGUCAGGGGCCCUGGGCGUGCAGAGAAGAGCAGGGAGCAGAGGUUCUCAGGCAGGUGAAAGGGAAAGGAGGGAGGAAGUGGGGGCUUCUGGGAGGAGACAGGAGUGGCGGUCGCUGUGUGCUGCUGGCCACACGGUCACCGUGAGGCCCCAGACCAUGAUCUCCUUUGUCCUACAUUACCGGCUUUCAAGUGAGGCCUUUCCCCAGUGGGGAAACCAAGGCUCCAAAAGGCGAGAUCACUUGCCUAGGCACUGCAGGCUCCCCAAUCUGUCUGGCUCUGCAGCCCGGACUCUCCAACAGUCACAGCCACUUUCUUAUCUUAUCUGCCUGACGAGGUUGUGAGUGAAGCAGCGUGAUCUCAGAGGUGCAGAGGGAUCCUGGGCCCUGCUGCUGUCUCCUAGGACCCCGAGCUCUAGGCUGCCAGCUGUUCAGGAGAUAUUGCCGGGAGACCCUGGGGGCUGGGAGCCCAGGUGGGGCCCAAAGCAUUUGCUCUGAGUGAGAGCAGAGACCCCUGGAGUAAAGGGGAGUGAGCCUGCCAUCUCAGGAGGGUUCCAGUAAAGAUACCCCAACAGCAGGGGAAGCUGGAGGCGUCGCUCAUAACAGGGCCAAAACUAGCCAAUGUAUUUCUGAAAUUCCUUCUUCUUGUCUUAAAAAUUCAUAUAGAUUUGUAUCCUGUUAAAAAGGUGGGCUCCCCCACUCCAUGCACAAUUAAAAAAAAAUCAGUUUCUACUCUCAGUUUCUACCUGCGUGGACACACCAGGAAGACGUGAUGUCUUCAGUGACUGCGUGUAUCUGGGGCCUGCCCUGUGGACCCCAGGCCCUGGGCCCCUGGUCUGGUUUGAGAAAGUGCAGGGACAGAGUUGAGGUCACAGUCCUGCCUGUUGUCACAGUCUAGGGCUCUCCCCACCUCCACUCCGUGCUCCUGCCUCUUGCUUUGACUCUCCCGUCUCCUUUCAUAGACGUUUGUCCAGCCCAGCCCAGCCCAGCCGUCCCACUGGGACUUCUCAGAUGCUUCCCGCCCGCCCCUUCACGCCCUGAGGGUCCUUGUCCAGAGGGUCCCUACCCAUCUUCAGCUGUCUAUGUAGGGCAGUCUAAGCCCUUGCCUCCUCAGACGAACAGCCUUGUUGAAUCUUCCCGUGCCCAUUUGGAGGAAACUGAGGCCCAGUGCUGAGAGAGCCUGGGCCUUCAGGGUUCCCAGGGGACCUCCGGGCAGGUGGGGUACCUCGGCCUAGGGGAAAAGACACCCUAUCUGGGCCCCCACCCCCUGCCAGGGAUGCAGGGAGGAGGAGGGAAAGCCGUGGGGUGCCGGGGGCUGCCGCCUGGCAGGUCCCUAUGCCCAGGGUAGGGAAGUUUCUUAUUUCUCCUGCUCCGACUUCCCCCUUUGAUUUAUUAUAGCCAUGAAAUGCUCUGCUCUCUUCUCUUUUCCUUGCUGUCCGCGGGGCUGGAGCAGUGCAGGCCCUGCGGGACUCCCAUCUCCUUCCAAAGGGUGAGCCCCGGCGCGGGGAGCCGUAAAGGAGAGGUGAGUCGAAGCAGGUAGGGCGGACGAGGAGAGGCCCCGACUCCCACCCCUGCUCCCGGCCCCCCCAAGGCUGGCCCGGGGGCAGGACCCCAGGGGCGGGCUCUGUCUCGGUCGGUCGGGAAGGGCUGGGGCCGGGCCGAGAGGGUGUGGCAGGUGUGGACUUGACGGCAGACAGCUCCCAGGGGCUGUGGGGGUGGCGGGCUCUGAGGCCGCGGCCUCGGGAGGCUGGCGGAUGGAGCCCGGUCAAGUCGAAGGCCGUCAAAUAGUCCUCCCGCGCUAACCCUUAGGCCGGAGAGGUGGCUUCUCUGUGACCCCUGACCCCAUAUUCUGAUUUCUCGAUGGCCAGAGGGGCCCUGGUUCAGCCGCCUCUGGGGGAUGAGGCUGAGCACCCAGAGGAAGGCGGGAGGCCCGAAGCCCAGGCCUCGGGCUUCUCGAGGCCAACCCCCUGCCCCCGUUGGACAUCGGCCCGAGGCCGGGGCCAGGCAGGUGAGGGCUGAAGUCCGACGGCCCGGCCCCCGGGGCGGACCUGGCGGCGGAGCAUCCCGGGCCGCCGCGGUGUGGUGCCUGUGGUAACGGGGCUGUUGGCAUUUUGCAAUGGCCCGGGGGCGGGGAGGCUGCGCACACACGCUUCCUGUGGUGACUGGGCGCUUCCUGUUUUCUCAGGCGCCGGACUUGCUGCUGCCGAUGUGGAAACAGGGGCAGCUGCAGCCGGGGUGGCUCCAGGCAGGGCGGCCCGCCGACCCUGCCCAGAGGGGCCUGAGUGGGCCCGCGCCCCAGGCCCCGACCCGGGCAGUAGAUGGCCCGAGUUACCCCCCAACCCAAGGGCCCCCAUGCCUCCCAUCCCCAACAGCUUCUGCCAAGAGGAAGGGGCCAGGCAGGGCUGCCCGAGGCCGAGCAGGUGGUCCAGAGGGUCCGAGGUCCAGGGAUGGGAGCUCUGGUCCCAGCUCUGUCCUUUGUUCUCUGAGUGCCUCUGGCCAUCCCUGACCCACCCCAGGCCUUGGUUUUCCUCUUUCACGUGAGGUGAUCAUGGUACUCGGAGUCUAAAAUCCCUCACCCAUUUCAGGCCCAUUUCUGACCUUCCUUGAUAUUUUCCAUCCCAAGAGCCUCAGCUUUGAGGACAAGAUGGGCCCUGAGACUGGGACCCUCCGAGGUGGGGCUUGGCAUAGGCCUCGACAGAGAGGGGUUUGGAGAGACUGGGGGCAGGGGAGAGCACAGCUGCUGGGGGAACCAGACUUCCAAUUGAGGUGUGGAGGCCAGGAAAGGCCAGCACCAGGUUAGGGAGACAGGCUGUGGAUGGGACAGACCGAGAAUGGUGGCAGACAAGGUUGACUCGGAAGGAUUCCGAGCGGGAGAAAGAUCUCCGGAUCCUCUGUAUCCCUACAAAUGUUAGGAAAGGGUCUGUACACCCUCACAUUGUUUCUCAGGAGAAAGACGAGUAGGGCUAGGGGCAGGGCCAGCCUUUCCCAUCUGUCCGGCAAGGAGGUGGGUGCCUGUGUGGUGUGACAUGUGGGCCUCGGGAGGGCCCAGAGCCUUCUCCAGGCAUCAGGUGCCUGGAGGUUCCACCACCAGGCCAGGCGUCGGGAACUUGGCAUUGCCUUUUCCCCGAAUGUGUUUUGUUUUGUUUUCAAGCUGCUCUUGCAAGAAGGGGAGGGCAGAUGACUUGGCUGCUUGUGGAGAUUGCUGACAGCAUCUGACGUCUGGAGGAAGAAUUUCUUUGCAGGAAGGCCGAGGCUUGGGUGCCCCUGGGGGAACUGACCGGUCCACUGACUGAGUUCAGCCACCCCACUCAGCCCAGGAGGUUCUGAGGGACCCACUUCCUAAGUGGCUUCUCCUCAGUCUCAAGGCCUGUCCAUCACGGACGGCCAAGGACUGGUUCCAACCAGAGAGGCCUCCAGGAUCCCAAGACCCUGGUGCUCAGCCUGAGGGGCUGGGAAGCCGGCCUGGCCGCUGCCAUCAGGUCCCCUGCCUUGGUGCCUGGGGUCAGCUCAAGUGCUGAGUUGGCGGCUCCGCAGCUGCUCUUCUGCCCACGGAGGCCCAGUUAUAAAUAAGCCCAGUGUUGGCCAAGUCAUCAAGUUCUAUCCCAGCUGUAUUACCUCAGUGACCACAGGUUGGGGCUGCCCAGAACUGGGCCCGCCAGAACCUGCCCAUCAAGGCCAAAGGCCGGGCCAGCCUCGAUGCUUACAGUGGGGGGUCCUCAAACCCAGGGCGGGGGCCUGUGCAGCUCAGACCUGGACCUGCCUGGACACGGGCCACAGAAGGGGCAGGACCCAUCCCGCCUGCAUGGAGCCAGCAGCUAUUUACAAACCGAAACCUGGAGAAGCGAAGUGGCUGCGGCCAGAGUGGCUCCAGGCCCCCCGGCCCCCACUCCAUCCCCCGCGGCCCCCUCCCCCGCUCCACACGGCUUCCUCUUUCCUUCCCCACAUAGCUCCCCAACCUCCCACUGCCCCGGCCAGCUCUCUCUGGACAACCUGCCAGGACCUCACAGUGACCCCCACACGCCCCGUCCCCGGCCCCUCAGCCACUUUGCUUGGAGGUUGGGGGGUCCCCUUCAACUCCUCACCCCCGCCCAGGACCCCAUGAGCCUGGGCUUCUUGGAGCAGCCCCCUCCCACCGGGGCCCGGCCCACUCUGGCCUGCCCGAAGCACAUUCCCACAGUUCUCAGUUCCCCUUCGUGACUGGAAAAGCUCCAGCCCUGAUGGCCGCCAUGACGCUGCUCGGCCCUGCCCUAGGGUAGCCGCUCCAGCAGCUCCUUGACCUUUCCCAGGGGGGAAUGGUGGGGGCAAGGAAUCUGGGGUGCUGCGGUGGGCCUGGGGGCACCCGGGGCCUUCCAGGGGGCUUGUUUCUGGGUGGGAGGCCCCAGCCAUCUACUGUCUUUGAGAUGGGCUUCAGCCCCCUCAUCCAGCUGGUCUGGGUCACAGGCCCUCUUGCGGGGCAGAGUUGAGCUGGGACAGAUGGACGCUGGGCCUGAGACCACGGCUCACGCUGCUUGGGAACCACAGGCAGGACUGGCGCUGCAGCAGGGGAUUGUUCUAGGAAGAGACAGAAGACAGCACAAGGAACACUCGUUUCAAAUCAUGAACAAGCUCUCUCACGAUGGCGCAGAGCGGGUCGGUUCUUUUCAUCCCCAGAUAGAGCCUGUCCCACCGUCUCCAUCAGAAAUGGAUGCUGGGGCGCAGAGGGCAAGGAGCGUGUCCCAGGCUACACAGUGGGCAAGUGUCUGGACCGGGAGUCAGGGUUUCCCGACACCCAGUCCCCUCGUCUGUCCAUCUGACUAGCCCUGGCUCCAUCUCAUCCGCCCGUCUCCUUCCCAGGGAGGACACAAGUUUCCCAGCCCCGGGGACAAGGCAGGAAGCCAGGCUGUCCCGAAGCUUGAGGGGGACGCAGGCCUUGGACCCUGAAGCUGCCAGACCUGGUCGUCAGUGGCCCAGGUCCCCCUCCACGGCCUCAGGAGAAGGCUCUGCCUGCCCCACUCCAUGCCUCCCACCAAGUCCCAGCUGAAGCAGAGCCCUGGCUCCCACACCCCCUCAGCCGCAGCCAGCGGCCACGUUCCGCCUGACUUCUCUGAACGUCAGAAUCCUCUUCCGUGGAUUGUAAGUGCUCAAACACAGCAGGCAGAAACUGUCUCUGGAGCCGGGACAUGGCGCCUGCCCACAGUCCUGUGCGGGAGGCAGAUGAGUGUUAAGAUGCUGAGGACUCUGGAAGGGAGACUGAGGCUGGGGGACCCCAGGAGAAGGCAACGGGUGCUUCCCGGGGUAAGGAGGGGUCCCUCAGGUGGGAUAGGAAAGAGGUCCCCAACAAAAGCCCGGGGGGACGGGCUCUCCAUGCUGAGUCCCACCCCUGGGCCUGGGCUCUAGGGCUUCCCACAGUUCAAGUCAAGUUCCUUUUCUUCCUCUGGGCCCAGUGAGCUCCUAUUCAUCUGUCAAGGCCCAUGGACACACCACAGAAUGACCAGGCCUGGCCUGGCUUCAUGGCUCCUUGCCUCCUUCUUCCCACCCGGAAGCCAGGCCUCCUUGGUCGCGACGCCCUCGCCAGCCCCACCCAGGCAGGCAUCUGCUCCCGGGCUGGAGCCCCCGCCAUCCUCUGCUCCGAAAAGCACCGUUUCCCUUUUCUGGGUGACCACACGCCAUGCACAGGGAAUUUCCAUCUCAGCCUGCGGAGCCUCUGAUUCACCCAGGCCCCUUAUGCAUUUAACUCCUUCCGGGUCCAGGCCUGUCGACUCCAUGCCCCUCGCACUUGCCCGGGGACCCCUAGCUUCAAACUAGCCUGGAAUCCCACAGCCUGGAAAUCAAGUCAGCGCCUCACUCACCGGCCCCCUCAGCACCCUCCCACUCACGCACCGGGCACAGAGACCCCUGACCUGCUGGCUCCCGGCACACACACUGGGGCAGCUUUGGGCUGAGAGCACAGACUGUGGAGUAAGAUAAGCCCGGUCCGACCCUGAUUCUGGCUGUUUCUGCUUUCCGCCCUGAAGCGGUAUAAGGGUUGGCUCUGAGGCCCAUUUCUCAUCUAUUAAAAUCGAUCCCUGUGCCAUCGCUUUGUUGUAAAUGUCUAGCGCGCUGGCCCACGACGGGAGCUUGGUAUUGAUUACCCUCUUCCUACCACAGCAUCCCUACUCCAGACCUGGGGCCCCUCGGUCUUCUCCCGAGAGCUGGUUGCUCAGGCAGGGAGGAGGGGAGAAGGGCAGGCAGGGCAAAGGAGGGUGAGAGGCUGCUGUCUCAAGGCUCUCAUCUGACAGCUUCUUGGCUCCUCACAUUGCUCAGCUUUUCCAAGGAGUCUUUGGAAAGGCCAGGGGGCGGGAGCUUCCAAGGAACUGAGGGCCACAGAGAUCCUGAGCCCUUGGAGACAGGGCCGAGCCUUCCUCCUCCAGAGGGAGGCUGGGUGUGCGCAUCAGAUAGAAACAUAUCCAGUGCAGUCUCUAAUUCUCUCAGCCCCCUGGGGUGUAUCCUGCUGUUGCCCCCAUUUUACAGAUGACAAUACCGAGGCUCUGAGAAGUGACUUGCCCUCAGCCACACGGCAAACACAGGGCAGGGAUAGGAUUCGAAAUCAAGGUCUCUAGAGCCAUACUUUAACCUCCACAAGGGUCACUCAGCAUUUGCGGAGGCCAGUGAGGGAAACACGCACUAAUUGAAAGCCUACUGUAUACAAGGGAGAGGCUCACACAGAUUGUCUCUUUCUGCCCUCUGGACCAUGCUGCAGCUGAGUCUUGUUGGCAUCUCUACAGAAUCGAGGCCUCUGAGCUUCAGAGAGGGGAAGGGGCUACACAGCCAGUGGUAGGGAAGGAUCCAGGGGUGCCUAGAUAGGAGAGGAUGGUGUCGGGGGCUCCACAGAAGAGGGGGGGCCUUGCAGAGUGGGGGGGAGUGGCUCCUGUCCUCACUGAGCGAGCAGGGCGGGUGCUGCCCGUGGUGAGCAGGAGGAAGUCGCUGUGGGUGGCGGUGGGUUUGAGGUGCCGGAGGCUGAGUGAUGUGGCCAGGAGUAUGAUUUGUAAUAGCAGAAAACUGGAAAUGACCUGAAUAUCCAUCAGUAAGAGACUGGUUAAAUAGCUUUUCGCAACAAUGGAAGGCUAUACGGCGAUGAAAAUGGACCACAGCUACGUGCAACAAGAAUGUUUACACCAUGAUUCUCUUCAUAUAAAGAUUAAAAUCUGUUAAGGUAAAAACUAAACUAUAUUGUUAGAGAUGUUUACUUAAGUGGGAAAGCUGUAAAGAAAACAGGGAAAUAAUUACUGGAAAAGUUAGGAUAGUCUUCCUUCUAGAGAGAGGCAGGACAUUUGGGGGAAGCUUCUGGAGUGCUGACAGUGUUCUAUUUCUUGACCUGGAUGGUGGUUACAUACGUGUGCGCUUUAUAAUUAUCUUUUAAAUUGUACGUAAAUGUUUCCUGCAGUUUUUUGAAUGAAUGAGGUCUCUCAGGAUGUGAAGAUACCACAGUUUACCCAAACAGUAGAAUACUAUAUGGUCAUUAAAAAGAACAAGACGGCUCUAUAUGCAUGGGCACGGGCAUGGAUUUAGUGGGGAAAAACAACCAAAGUGAAGUAUGGUGUGUUUGGUGUGCUACUUGCGGUGUGAAAUUAGAAAAAGAAUUUAUCUGCCUCUGUGCUUCUGUCUGCUAGACUUCCUCCAGAAAAAAUAUCCAAGAAUCAGGUAACAGGGAAGAGAACCAUUUCCCCUUUUGUUACCUUUUGAAUUUCAUACCAUGUGUAUCUAUUACCUAUUCAAAUAUUAACGUAAUUUAAAAAACUGUUUCAGGGAUUUCCCUGGUGGUCCAGUGGUUAAGAGUCUGCCUUCCAAUGCAGGGGACACAAGUUCAAUCCCCGGUUGGGGAGCUGAGAUCCUGCAUGAUGCCGUGGGGCAGCUGAGCCCACACAGCACAAUUAGAGAGUCCACAUGCCUCAGCAGAGACCCAGCACAGCCAAAAAUAAAUAACAAAUAAAAAGAUAAAAA